rnacentral:rRNA from 1 species
UACGUAGGGUGCAAGCGUUGUCCGGAAUUAUUGGGCGUAAAGAGCUCGUAGGCGGUUUGUCGCGUCUGCUGUGAAAACCUAAGGCUCAACCUUGGGCUUGCAGUGGGUACGGGCAGACUAGAGUGGCGGUAGGGGUGACUGGAAUUCCUGGUGUAGCGGUGGAAUGCGCAGAUAUCAGGAGGAACACCGAGUGGCGAAGGCAGUUC